GCUCCCGUAGCUCAGGGGAUAGAGCGCCGGCCUCCGGAGCCGGGUGCGCAGGUUCGAAUCCUGCCGGGGGCA
rnacentral:tRNA from 1 species